CAGGGGCGUAGCUGCCGUUAGGCACUUUAGGCACGUGCCUACACAUAUUUUUUUCACAAAUAUUUUUUUUUAUUAAAAAAAUUAAUAAACAACGUUAUCUGUAGAUGAAAGCCGGUGAAGUUGUCAAAACUCUUUAAUUAUCGAAUGUCAUGUGUACACUAGUCUCUCGUCCUUAGUGUAUGGAAUAUUGAAUAGAAUUGAAUGUUUUUACGAUUUUACCUUAUAUAGAAACUAUAAACUAGAACUUUGGUUCAGAUCAUUUCACUUCUAUCAACAA
rnacentral:lncRNA from 1 species